CUGAACGUGGCUUAACGGGUAGACUAAUUAAAUGGGCAAGCCUUCCAUAACAUUUGUCCUGAAUGGGAUAGGAGGAUAUCUGUAGAUUCACACCUGAAAACAGGACUGCUGCAUGUGGACUUUAGUGACUUAGUGGCUUAUUCUUCAAGCAUCAAAUGGGAAUAGUUUAUAAACAAAUGUAAAAAUUCAGGCUACAGGUACACAGGGUUACUGAAAAAUCUGAAACAACAAUCCCUAUUCUAUACUGGAUUGCAUGCAAAGGAUCUACCAUAAAAAGGGAAGAAAAGAUGCUGGAUCCCACGGUUAUCAGAACCUCCUAGCCCUAAGAUGGAGAAAAA